CCUACGGGUGGCAGCAGUGGGGAAUAUUGCACAAUGGGGGAAACCCUGAUGCAGCGACGCCGCGUGAGUGAAGAAGUAAUUCGUUAUGUAAAGCUCUAUCAGCAGGGAAGAAAAUGACGGUACUUGAGUAAGAAGCACCGGCUAACUACGUGCCAGCAGCCGCGGUAAUACGUAGGGGGCAAGCGUUAGCCGGAUUUACGGGGUGAAAAGGGAGCGGAGACGGCAGGGCAAGUCUGGAGUGAAAGGCGGGGGCUCAACCCCGGGACUGCUCUGGAUACUGUACGGCUUGAGUGCAGGAGAGGGAAGUGGAAUUCCUAGUGUAGCGGUGAAAUGCGUAGAGAUUAGGAGGAACACCAGUGGCGAAGGCGACUAUCUGGAACAUAACUGACGCUGAGGAGCGAAAGCGUGGGUAGCAAACAGGAUUAGAUACCCUGGUAGUC
rnacentral:rRNA from 1 species